rnacentral:rRNA from 1 species
GUCGAGCGAUGAAGCUUCCUUCGGGAAGUGGAUUAGCGGCGGACGGGUGAGUAACACGUGGGUAACCUGCCUCAAAGUGGGGGAUAGCCUUCCGAAAGGAAGAUUAAUACCGCAUAACAUAAGAGAAUCGCAUGAUUUUUUUAUCAAAGAUUUAUUGCUUUGAGAUGGACCCGCGGCGCAUUAGCUAGUUGGUAAGGUAACGGCUUACCAAGGCAACGAUGCGUAGCCGACCUGAGAGGGUGAUCGGCCACAUUGGAACUGAGACACGGUCCAGACUCCUACGGGAGGCAGCAGUGGGGAAUAUUGCGCAAUGGGGGAAACCCUGACGCAGCAACGCCGCGUGGGUGAUGAAGGUCUUCGGAUUGUAAAGCCCUGUUUUCUGGGACGAUAAUGACGGUACCAGAGGAGGAAGCCACGGCUAACUACGUGCCAGCAGCCGCGGUAAUACGUAGGUGGCGAGCGUUGUCCGGAUUUACUGGGCGUAAAGGGUGCGUAGGCGGAUGUUUAAGUGGGAUGUGAAAUCCCCGGGCUUAACCUGGGGGCUGCAUUCCAAACUGGAUAUCUAGAGUGCAGGAGAGGAAAGCGGAAUUCCUAGUGUAGCGGUGAAAUGCGUAGAGAUUAGGAAGAACACCAGUGGCGAAGGCGGCUUUCUGGACUGUAACUGACGCUGAGGCACGAAAGCGUGGGUAGCAAACAGGAUUAGAUACCCUGGUAGUCCACGCCGUAAACGAUGGAUACU